AUGGAUUACUCUGAUGAUGCUGACAUAUUUGAGAUAGAUGUGAUCCAGUAUGAGGCUGAGGUCAAAGGUCAUGAGGAAGACAUUUCUUACCAGUCAGGUCAGGAAAUGGAUUCGUUAUCAUUAAAAAACAUCGGAUCAAACCACAACAGGUUUGUAUCACUGUGGUGGACUUUUGGUGGAGGAACCAGACUGGAUGUUGGAAGUGAUGUCCGUCCCACCCUGACGGUGCUGCCCCCCUCCAGCGAGGAGCUGGAGCAUGGGAAGGCCACGCUCAUGUGUCUGGCCAACAAGGGCUUCCCCUCAGACUGGAGUCUGGCCUGGAAGGUGGACGGCAGCAGCAUCAGCAGCAGCUGCAGCUGGGAGGAGAGCAGGAGCCCCGCGGUGCUGCAGAAGGACGGCCGCUACAGCUGGAGCAGCACCCUGAGGCUCCCUGCGGACCAGUGGGGGAAGGUGGGCUCUGUGACCUGUGAGGCCACCCAGGGCUCCCAGACUCCAGUCUCAGAGACACUGAGGAGAGACCAGUGUUCCCAGUCCUGACCUGACUCACUGGGACUCUGAUACUGGUUUUACUCUGCUACUGCUCUCACUCUGAUCUCUGCAACUCUCUCUCUUUUUCUGUCACUCACUCUCUGAUUACAUUUUUCAUUGAUAAAGUUUCAUUGCUUGUGUAUUUUAUGUUAUUUCAAGACAAUAAAGACCUGUUCAUCAAA